rnacentral:rRNA from 1 species
GUCGAGUCGGCCUGCGCGGAAGAUGUAACGGGGCUAAGUAGUAAACCGAAGCUGCGGCAAUAUACUUUUGUAUAUUGGGUAGGGGAGCGUUCUGUAAGCGGUUGAAGGUGUGUGGUAACGCAUGCUGGACGUAUCAGAAGUGCGAAUGCUGACAUGAGUAACGAUAAAGGGGGUGAAAAACCUCCUCGCCGGAAGACCAAGGGUUCCUGUCCAACGUUAAUCGGGGCAGGGUAAGUCGACCCCUAAGGCGAGGCCGAAAGGCGUAGUCGAUGGGAAACGGGUUAAUAUUCCCGUACUUCUUACAAUUGCGAUGGGGGGACGGAGAAGGCUAGGUGGGCCUGGCGACGGUUGUCCAGGUUCAAGUGCGUAGGCUUGAGAGUUAGGUAAAUCCGGCUCUCUUUAAGGCUGAGACACGACGUCGAGCACCUACGGGUGUGAAGUCAUUGAUGCCAUGCUUCCAGGAAAAGCCUCUAAGCUUCAGAUUGUAAGGAAUCGUACCCCAAACCGACACAGGUGGUCGGGUAGAGAAUACCAAGGCGCUUGA